UUUUAAAUGGCCGCAGUAUUUUGACUGUGCAAAGGUAGCAUAAUCAUUAGUUUUUUAAUUAAAAGCUUGUAUGAAAGGCUGGACGAGGUAAAAUCUGUCUCUAUUUAAAUUAAAAUAGAAUUUAACUUUUAAGUUAAAAGGCUUAAAUAUUAUUAAAAGACGAGAAGACCCUAUAGAUCUUUAUAAUUUAUUAAAUUAAAUUAAUUUAGAAAUAUUAAUGUUUUAUUUGAUUAAAUUAUUUUAUUGGGGUAAUAAAAAGAUUGAAUUAAUUCUUUUUUAUAAUAAACAUUAAUUUAUGAAUAUUGAUGAUCCAGUUUUACUGAUUAUAAGAUUAAGUUACCUUAGGGAUAACAGCGUAAUUUUUUUAGAGAGUUCAUAUCGAUAAAAAAGUUUGCGACCUCGAUGUUGGAUUAAAGAUUAUUUUAGGUGUAGAAGCUUAAUAAUUUUGGUCUGUUCGACCAUUAAAUCUUUACAUGAUCUGAGUUCAGACCGGCGUAAGCCAGGUCGGUUUCUAUCUUUAAUAAAACAAAAUAUUUUAGUACGAAAGGACCAAAUAUUUGAUAUAUUUAUAUUUAAUUUAUUGAAUAUUA
rnacentral:rRNA from 3 species